rnacentral:rRNA from 1 species
CCUACGGGGUGCAGCAGUGGGGAAUAUUGGACAAUGGGCGAAAGCCUGAUCCAGCCAUGCCGCGUGUGUGAAGAAGGCCUUCGGGUUGUAAAGCACUUUCAGUGGGGAAGAAAGCCUUGGGGCUAAUACCCUCGAGGAAGGACAUCACCCACAGAAGAAGCACCGGCUAACUCCGUGCCAGCAGCCGCGGUAAUACGGAGGGUGCGAGCGUUAAUCGGAAUUACUGGGCGUAAAGCGCGCGUAGGCGGUCUGAUAAGCCGGUUGUGAAAGCCCCGGGCUCAACCUGGGAACGGCAUCCGGAACUGUCAGGCUAGAGGGCAGGAGAGGAAGGUAGAAUUCCCGGUGUAGCGGUGAAAUGCGUAGAGAUCGGGAGGAAUACCAGUGGCGAAGGCGGCCUUCUGGACUGACACUGACGCUGAGGUGCGAAAGCGUGGGUAGCAAACAGGAUUAGAUACCCCUGUAAUC